AGAAGUCUAUGGGGACAAGAAUGAGCUCAGUCACCCGAGAGGGCCGAUUCUGAUCCGGCCAAGGCUCUGGAGCACCAGCCCGGUCUGCGGCCCUGCCUUGGCCCAGUCCAGCCUCUUGUACCGGACCUCUGUCAUAAGUCACAGCUUUCCUAUGGCCCCUUGGCCUGGAAAGAGGAUGAUAGUUUUGACCCUGGGUGCUCUCAGGGUGAGACUGAGCCAGGGGUUUGGAGGGGGCAUGCCAGGACCCACAAACCACCUGGCCUCCUGGAUAGAUGCCCAGAAUCUUUUGAGCACCCUUUGGACAGAGUGACCUCGUGGGCCAGGCAGGAGCUCUGAGCUCCAGCUUAACUGUCUGUGACACAUUCUGUAUCUCUAACUCCUCAUCUGCCAUAUGGGGACCAAACUACUCCCUGAUUUCAAAGUAGAAUGCCACCAAGUACUGACUUGUAAUUUAGAGACAACGUCAAGAGGAUUCAUGGGUGCAAAAUUAAAUCACAGCGUCUUUCAAAGACCAAGUCAGGGUUGGUGUUAAUGUGCCUCUUCCCUAGACUUGACAAUCUGCAGCCAGCCCUGUCUCAGAGUCCUGGCAGGCAACUGCAGCGUGAAGCUGGCGUUUAGUAACCGUGUUGGUUUUCAUGUGUACUUAGUUUUCCCAGUACCUUCUAUUUAUAAGCAACAAAACUGGUUUCUAUUUAUGACUGUAAUAUAAAGCUUCCCUUUUGAGAAAAAAAAAAUGAGCUGACAAAAAAAAAUUAAUAAUAAAAGUUGUAUGGGACAUGACAGGAACAGUAAUCGUGGUGUGUGUUAACACACAGACAAAGCAGAAAUCAUAAAGGUGGUACAAGGAGAGCGGGAGCCCGGAUGUGGCCUGAGUGGUCUGCUCGGAGGAGGCAGUAAGAUGAAGCUGUGCCUCAGACUCUCCAGUGUUCUACAUCAGCACCAUCACUGUGACCUGGACAGUCAAUGCCAGAGAGCUCAAAAGGUUCAGGGCCUGGGCCACCAACCAGCUCCCCGGAGCUCUCAGGGACCUGCUCUCCUCUGACAGCCCUGUAUAAAAUGCCAGGAGUCUGGCCCCAGGUGUUACCAACAGUGAGGCGGCAGAGCCAGGAAGGACUCACCUUAACGUCCACCUCGACUUCCUCUUGGCCGGACUUCUCAGCACCGGUAUCCAGGUCACCAAAGACAUUUGGGAAUUUCAAACUAAAGUAUCCGGGCAUCUUCCUCAUCCAAAGCCAGCCCCAAUACAGCAGUGCAAACCCCCUUCACCAAUCAGGAGGACAAAUCCACUCCUCUCCAGGGAACAGUGCCAAGUUCAGCCAUCUCUAGGCCUAAGGUCCUGAGAGCUCGGAAGGCAGGGGAAGAUCCUUUGUGCAGAUGCGGUUCAUCGAGCUAUCUCUGAAGCUACUUUAAUAGCAGUGAUCUAACCACAGCGAUGGGGCCCAAUCUCAGGCACACUGGGCAAGCACCCUGCCAUCUGGACACUUGCUGAGUGACCACAGGAUCCUCUUGUUUUUGCUCACCAGUUUCUGCACCAGGAAGAAAUCUUUCUUAUAGAUGGCAAUGCCCUUGUUGAACAGCUUCCUCUCAGCCAUCUUCCACUCGUCAGAGCCUGGAGAGCAAAGAGGGUGCCAGGUUGUGAAUCGGGCAGGAACGUGAGGCACCCAACAGGGUAAAACGUGAGGCCAUCCACAUCCGCUUCCGUUCCGUACUACUGGCUUCUCGAAGCCUCAUCCACUCUCCUCACUUGUCAGGUGUGAAUGAACAUCAGAACCUGUCCUUCCGGGCAUGAGAAAGACUAAAUGCUGUAAUGGGGGAACAAUGUUUUGGGGCUCUGGUACAGACAAAAGGGAGGCUUGGCGAUAGUGGCUACUGGGGUCACAUGACUGCGUCAAUGCCACUCUCACAAUCAGUACAGCAUCCAGAAAAAACGAGCACUGUAAGGCUAAGUUCCAGGUACCUGACAUCAAAUUGGUUUGGAUUGCACUUCCUAUGUUUGACCUUUGUACCUGCGACUAGGCCUUUUUUUUUUUUUUUUUUUUUUUUGCCUCGAUUGCCUACCCACUUCAGGCUUCCCCUCAAGGGCCUGGGUAGCCCCGAGAGAGCAAUUCAGCUCUGCCAUUAGUUUCCUUGCUCUGACUGUUGGCUAACUCCCCGUCCCAAUCCCAUUCAGCACUGUCUUAGCACUGAGCAGGGCCCCACGGAUGCUGGAGAGCUGAGAGGCUCUGGGUCACAUGACCCCGAGGUCAGGCCCACCUGUGUAGUGAUAGGUAGCCAGUGGGUGAUUGUGGGGCCGCAGGGGCUUCUUCAGUAGCAGCUUAUUCAGCGCCUCCUGGAGGGAAAGAAAGGGCAGUCAGGAAGCUGGGAAGAGCCACAGUGAAGGUUGAGUGGCCCAGGCCACUGUCUGGGUAGAGUAGGCACUUACUCUCGCCUAACCUAACUGCUGAGAGACAGGGCAUGUGGGAGAGAAAGGCAAAACUCAGAAGUGGACCUCUGAGGAUUCAAGUCAUGAGACCAUUGCAGGAACACUUUAAGGGAACCACGGCCAUCAAAGUGAGUCGUCUGGGCAGAGAAUGCCCUCGGUGACAGUCCUGCCUGAGAGUGGGGGAAUCUACUGGUCUAGAAUCAAGGACUAGAUUCAACAGUAGGACCUUGCACACCCAGCCAGGGUUUGAAGACUAGAGUUCCCUUAGGCCAAGCUCCAGUAGCCUCUUCCUUGCUCAGAGCCCUCAUAGGUGCCACAAAUCACCAUGCCAAGUCAUUCCCGUACCGAGGAGGCCAAGGCAAGGUAGACAGUCAUGAUUGGGGGGUGGGGAGGAGUUAGGAGGAAAAAAAAGAAACACAUGCACACUAUAAAUUAAUAUAAUUUUAUACCACCAAGCCUGAUUCUAGCAGCAGGUAGGGAAAAAUCUACCUGCUUUCUUAAAGGAUCCCCCCACCCCCUAAUUUAACGAGGCUUUCUUACCAGGAUGUCCCCCCGGGACUCAUGCAGAUAGUGUAGGGCCAGUUCCUGGUUGGUGCCGGCACCAGGGAAAAUACUUGAACAGGCGGCCGUCAGCAGGUCAUCCACUGAACUCAGCAGAAGCAUUGGGGGAACAGGAAAUCAUGUUCAGGCCUGGGUCCAUCUGCCCACCAGCCUGCCGUGCCCUGCUCCCCGGAGAUCUCUCCUUACCUUGCCUCUGCUUCUCCCAGCUGCUCUCAAGAUGUUCCCAAGGCUGCCACACCAAGUCAGCCUUAUGGGGGUCUGCGGCUGCCAGGGAUCUGUCUCUCAUUGUGGGGAUUUCUGCUUGGAACCGGGUGCCGACGUUGAUUCGUCUGCAGGGGCGGAAGGGCAGGGAGUGAGGCUUCACUUUGUGGGGACUAAGAACCUGACUUUCUCCCUAGGAUGGGAAGAAAACGGUGCAGCUGGCACAUGCGGAAUGCAGUAAAGCCAUAGCUGGGUGUCGGGAAUGUGGCUUCUGGGAGACAGACAGCCUGGCUGGGGGCAAGACCAGAAAGACAAGGCUCCACAUUCGACAGAUAAGGAGAGACUCUUGGGCCCUCCCACCCAGCUCUCCCUCCUGACAAACCCAAGCCAACUUGGUCCUUCCCUCUCCUCUCUGCAACUUCCACACAAAAGCUGGCACAAACAAGAGAGCCCAGGACAGACUACAGAAGUCCAGAGAGACCGACUGGCCCUAUGACGGCCCCCACAGAACCCUCCCUUUGCUCCAAAGCCAAUCUGCAAUGCAUUAGGCCCACCUGGGCACCCACAUGCACACCAUGGGCCUGGGGCAGGGCUGCACUUACGGUUCGAUGCUCACAGGGGUGGCCUCCCCCAUCACAGAGAGGACGGGCGGGGUGACUUCAGAACUAUCUAUGGGCAAAGAGCACACUGGUAAAUGGCCCCUUCCUUCCUUCCUUCAGGAAAACAUUUCUCUCAUAUACGGCUGUCCUGCAUACAAGAGUCACAGUGGUGACUCACUGAGUACACUUGGAACUCAGACACCCUCUGUCCUUGCUCUGCAACUCGAAGACUGUGCAACUCCGGCCCUGGAUUAAACUUAUAUGAAAUGGAGACACUGACUAUGUAGCUGCUCUGGCUCCUUCCUACCCUCUGUCAAGACAAGCUACUGGGCCUCAACUUCCAGCCUCUAACACAGUUUCCCCCACAAAGAAGACCUCAGAAAGCCAAUAAACUUGAAUCACCUCACAAAGAUCUUGAAGGCCCUGUCUCUUUCCUAUUAUAGAGAGAGAGCAAGCACGCAGGCCGGCUCUUCAACAGAAUAAACAGGAAACCUGAACUGAACAGAAAAAAAAUCAUUCCCGAAGAUACCAGACCAAACAGCCUGACAAAGAAUUAAGGACACAAGACCUGAGGUGGACGUGGGACCAAACGGGCAAACCCAGCAUCUCAGCGGCCUUACACUACAGGUGAAUGCUGUUACUUGGAGAAGCAACUGGGAGGGGCUGAGGGCUAGCGGAUCCUGCUUCAAGAAUGACCAGAAUAAAAACCGUGGCUCAGGAUCACUGCGGGUGGCUAACAGGCUCAUCCUCACAGGAACACUUAAAUCAUGUCCUCUGUUUCUGAUUUAAGUAAAAGAGAGUCAGGAUUUCAUAGAAAAAGUAAGCAUGGCUUGGUGGGGAGAGUGCUUGACAUACAAAUACAAGGAUGUGAGUUUGGUUCCUCAGAACCCACAUAAAAAAGCCAGAUGUGGUGGCAAACAUCUGUUAUCCCCAGGUUUGGGAGGUGGAGACUGGAGGAUCCUUGGGGUCUGCUGGCCAGCCAGUCUGGCUGAAGUAUCAAGCUUCAGGUUCAGAAAGGGACAUGUAAGUGAGAAAGACAGCUAACACCAUCCUCUAGCCAUCACAGGCACACACACAUAAGCACCCACAUCUCUAUGCAUGUGCGUAUCACUAACACAAGUGCCGGAGUUUUUCAUCCGUUUUCAAGAUAUGUAGUGUCUUGAAUAGAAAAAAACAAAAAACCAAACAAAUGAACAAAAAUAACAGGGGUCUGGAAGAGGUGACUCAGAAGUUACGAGAACUGGCUGCUCUUCCAGAGGAUCCAGGUUCAAUUCCUAGCACCCACAUGGUGACUCACAAGUAACUCGCUCCAGUCCCAAGGGAAGUGAUGCCCUCUUCCAGCCUCUAUGGGCACCAGGCCCAUCUGUGGUACACAGACAUACAUGCAGGCAAAACACCCAUUCACAUAAACAAACACACAAGCAAGCAAGCAAGCUAAGAAGAGGAAGCAGCAGCAGCAGCAGCAGCAGCAGCAGCAGCCGCCGCCGCCAUGUGGUGGUGGCACAUGUCUUCCAUUCCAGCACUUGAGACAGGCAGGCAGAUCUCUGUGAGUUCAAGGCCAGCCUGAUCUACAGACCUAGUUCCAGAACAGUCAAAACUACGCAGAGAAACCGUCUCAAAAAUCAAACAAACAAAAGAGCAGCCAUAUUAGGAGCUGUGUGGGGAGCUGGUCAACCUUGAUCUGCUAAAGAAGUUGUGGCUGGAGAGACGCGAGUGAAGUACUUGCUCUGUCAGUGUGAGGACCCGAGUUUGGAUCCCCAGCACCCACAUAAGAUCCAAACAUGCACCUCUGCCUUUAAUCCCAGCACUCCUGUGGCAAGAUGAAAAGUGGAGGCAGAGAAGCCCCGGGAAGCCGGAGAGCCAACCAGCCUGAUGACACAGCUGCAAAUGGUGAGGCACAAACACAGAGGGUGCCCUUUGACCUCCGCACGCAUGACAGCACAUGAAUAUGCAAGACGGCACGCACGAGCGCACACACACACACACACACACACACACACACACACACACACACACACUUUUGUAAAGGCAGGCUGAGGGCUCAGUGAGUAAAGGUACUUGUUGCCGAGGCUGACAAUUUGAACUCAAUCCCUGGAACCACACAGCAAGAGGAGAGAACGGACUCACACAGGACUCACACAAACUGACCUCCGACCUCCACAUACACACCACAGCAUGCACACACACUCACACCCAUACACUCCCAAAAAAUAAAGUGGAUGUUUUUGUUUGGUUUUGAAGACAAAAACAAAAAAAGUAGAGGGGUGGGGACAGAGAAAGUUAUUGUAAAGUCAAAGGCAUCAUUUCCCCCGAGACUGGUGCCCUCUAUAUAAAGUCCAGGUUGGUCUAAAACUAUGAGACCUGGAUGGCCUGAACUCCGAGAUUCAACCGCCUCUGCCUUCCAAGCUCGGGGAUUAAAGGCGUGCACCACCAUGCCCAGCUCACAUUCAGACAUCCUUCGUACACAGCAUGAUGCUAUGAUUGGGUGUGGUUUAUCCUCCAAGGGUUCACAGAGCAGAGGCCUGGUCCCCAGCACAGGGCAAAUGGGGGAACUUUAGGAAGUGGGACUGGAGCACGGUACUCAAGUCCGGGGUACAGCCUUUGGCAGACAUUGUUGCUGCUCAAGAACUGAGUGAGCUAUCGAGUAAGCAAGCUGUUAAAAAGGACAGAACUUGUCCUUGAUUCCUUAUGCCUCAUAUCUGUCUGUGUGUCUGUCUCUGUCAAGCCAUCUGCAAUAUUGUGCAGGGACCAAGAGGGCCUGAAAGCACAAAGCCGUUUAAUCUUGGACUUUCCACACUAAAACCAUAAACUGGAUAAACUUCCUUUUAAAUAAGCACCAGCCACAGGGUAUGGACUAAUAUACUUGAAAUUUAUUUUAAAAACAACCCGACUGGCAUACAAGGAAGCAGGAUGUGAUCUGAAAGGUAGGAAACGCCAGGUGUGCGAGCGCGCACUUGUGAUCCCAGCAUGCAGGAAGCAGAGGCAGGUGGAUCUCUGCCUGUGAGGCAACAAAUUCCAGGCUGCCCAAAAUAGACAAAAAAAAAAAAAAAAAAAAGACAAAAAGAAGAAA